rnacentral:lncRNA from 1 species
AGUCCAGGCAGCCACCUGGCCUGAGACUGGCCUGGCUUUGCCGUUUCCUUUGGCAGCUCCCAAGACCUGAGGGUAGGAGUCCUGGGCAGCUGGGACCUGCCAGGCCAUUCUGUAUCUCCCAUGGGGCUCACGACCCAGGGACCCCCGUUCCUAUCUGAGAGGACCACUUCUUCCUGAAGCUGGAACCCGAUACUUGUUGGUGCCAACAACUGAAACCAGACUGUGGAUGGCUACAUGUCGCUUCACUCAAUGGCUGUUGGCCACUAGCUUGCUCAUUGACCACAGAAUCUCAGAGAGGAAGAUGAGAGUGUUGGGGGCUGAAGGCCAGCGGUUUUAGAAAGAAACAUUUGUGUGGUUAACUGAUAACUGGGCCCCAUCCCUGGGGCCUCCAGUAGCCUCUUCCUCCCUCCCUGUCCUCAGUGUGAUUAAGAUGAACUUACCUGUCUGCUAAUCAUUGCUGAGCCUGUUGGUCUUGCUUUAAAAAAUUAACUGGGCAUGAGUUUGCAAUUUGUCUCACCCCUAACCCUGAAAAGGCCCCGGGGUGGGCAGGAGGCCUCCUGGGUUAUGCAAGAGGCCAUUGGCCUCUCCACACAUGUCCAGCAGCCUGUGCUGCGCCCUCCGGAGGGAAGACUUUGCUCAAGAGUCAACAGCCUGCAUGUGCCCUGCUCCAGGGCCUGAGUAUAUUUGCUCUGUUACCACAGGGAGAUAAAGGCAGCUGGAACAUCCGAAGGGGGGAUGUGAAGCAGGGGCUUGUAGCUCCAACGUCCAAGCCAGGGAAUCUUAGGGGACAUGCAAACGGAGGCUUUUGGAGCUGGGUCCUGGGGUUCCCAGGAGCCCACAGAAGGGGGGGGUGUCACAUGAUGCCUUCUUAGGUGAGAUCUUAAUAGUUCAUUUUCAAGCUGGGAAAGUGCUGGCCCAGACCCAGCAGAUGGGAGAUGGAGGCGGAAGUGGGGAUGCGGCCUGUCCAAGAACAGGCUAUACUAGAUAGAUAGUCUGGCUCUCCUGGGACAGAGAUGACAGGUCUUUUUCUCUGAGAUCUCUGAGAGCCACCAGAGGCCCAAGUUAGGGGAUGGCAUCUGUGUCCUGUAGGUCUCUGAGUAGUCCCAGCAGCAGGAAUGUGAGGCAGGGGCACCUCCUAAUCUUGGCUAUGUCCUACCUCUGGAAGCAUCCAGCCCUUAGAGACACACAGAAGCCAGAGCCCUUCCCAGACUGUCUGGACCCUUCAGCUUCAGUUUCUUCCCUGUAAGUUGAGAAAAUGCCUAUGUUCUAAUUGUCCCACAAGGACGAAUGGCGUCAGAGACAUGAAUGGCGUGGACAUCUGUGUCAGGAGCUUCGCUCCUGAAUUCUCACGCUGCUCUGAUGCUGGGCGUUUUCAUGAGCGGUUUGUUAAGACAGCUGGCCCAGAGAGGUUGAGUUCUUCACCCAAGCUCACACAGUUGAUAGGAAAUAAGUUGUCCGGCUCAAAUCCAACCUAACUCCAGAACUUGUGUUCCUGGUCCCAAGGUUACCCCAUCCUUUCAAAACUUUCCCAACACAGCAAAUGCUCAAGAGAAACUGGCAGCACAGGGUCAUGGAAACAGCUCUGGACAGACAGCAGUGUAUUGUGGGAGGUUCUGACGGGAAAAACUUAGGAGGUUUGGUGAGCGGAUGGUCUGGGGAACGAUCAGGGUAGAAGCCAGGAUUUGGGUCCCGUGGGCGGUGUUUCCUGAGUUCUGUUUGCCUACGGCCAGGUGGCUUAUGACAUCCGAGCUGACACUGCCACUGUCCUGUUUGUGUUCUGUGAGGGUGACCUUGGCCUGUGUGGGGCCUGAGGGGUGAUGGGAAGCCCCUGUUACCCCAAGUCCUGGUCUUGGGAAUGAGGAAUGAGUCUGCUAUUCAGAAGUUAUCCUUAAUCUCCUCGACUCCAGUUCGGAGGGGCCCCAGGGAUUUGUCUGAUGUCAUCAGGGUAAAGUAUUUGGGAGUUCGUUCGGAGACAGGCCAGGAUCACUGUGUUUAGUUGCACAGGUCACUCACUGCACAAAUAUUCUAGUUCAGGAGGCUGAGGUGGGGGAUGGUGCAGGGGGUGGAAAUCCCGCCCUUGUUCCAAAGCCCCAGAACCUGGUCUAUCCAAAGGGGAUACACUUUCUCAUUUGAGCAAACAUUCCAUGUAAACCAUUGGAUAGCUUGUCCCAAUUUGUUCUUAGCCAUGCCUGGUCCUUAGAAAAGCCAUUUUCCUCUUUGGUCUUUGAAUUUCAUAUGGAAAACCGAGCUGAAGGUUCAUUCUGGCUAACACCAAAUGGAACCACUUGAUACUGUGAAAGGUUUUUACGUCCUAGCUUUGAAAGGCCUUGUGCUGGAAUAUGGCUCAGUGGUAGAAUGCUUGCCUAGCGUGUGACAGGCCCUGGCCAUUCCCCGGCUCCACACAGGGAACAAAAAGGGACAGAUAAAACAGUGAUUCCCAAGCCCUGUCACAAACCAGGCAGACAAGGUAGCACACAUCUGUAAUCACAGCAGGAGAAUUGGGAAUUCCAAGCCAACCUGGGCUAUAUCCCGGUGAGAGGAAGGCCAGCCUGGGCUUAUGUAGUUACACUCUAUCUCAAAACAAAAAUCUUGCAAUGGGAGGCACAGUGCUAGGUGCUGGAGAUUUCCCGAGAAGUCUGGUGGGUGGUCAUGAUUCUGAACCUCUGCUGGGUCAGGGAAGGCUGGAAAUAUGUUAAUAUGGGUCCAGAUUUGACUGUGUACAAGUCAAACCUUGGCUGAGGCUCAGUUUCCCCAUCUGUUAGGUGGGUUGGUGAUAACUUCCUCUCCAAGUCAGAAUGCUGACUCAUGGGUGAUGUUUGCACCACACCUGGCUCCAUCUCCAGUUUGUGGACAGCUCUAAUUCCAGGCACCAAUGGCUAUUGCUGUUAUUAUUGGCAACAGCAUAUUGGCUUCCAGGUCAAGGAUGAAAUGACCUGGAACUAAUUCCUAGGACAUGCAUUGUAAUCUUCUCUGCACACCUGUCGCUAUGGCAGUGUGUGUAGUUAUGAUUAUUCUUGUUUACUAUUUUACCUCAUUUGCUUAAGCCUUUCAUCUGAUGUCCUUGCUGCAUUGCUGUGUUUCAAAAUAAGAAUAGAAGAAGGUACCUGUUGAGACUUGCUUCCCCUGACUCUGUCCAUCACUGCUCCCAGCUUCUGCACCAUUUGGGGCCAUUUCUUAGUUUUUCUUGUCUUCCAAGCGUUACAGGAGCCUUGCAUGUAUGUCCAUGACCUGUGUACCCCUGUGUUGUCAAGCAGCCUCCUCGCUGUCCUGAACUUUGCUUUUCUCAUUUUCUGUGGUGGUCAGUAGGCUAUCUGACACCUUUGGGGCAAGCCUUGGCUAAGGAAGAGCCGGCUCAGCCAGGGAGCCUCGGUUUCCCAGGGAGUCAAGUCUCAGAUUUUUAUUUUUCGGUAGGGUUUUGUAUAUGUAGCUUAGGCUGGCCUUAAACUCGCUAACUAGUGGGAGUGACCUUGAACUUCUGGUCCUCCUGACUGUGCUUUCUAAAUACUAGGAUGACAGGUGUGCACCGUCGGGUGUGCUUUAUUCAGUGCUGAAUACAGAAAGAACACAGAGCUUCACCCACGGUAGGCAAGCAAGCAAGUGUUCUACCAGCUGCAUCCCCAGCCCCUGGGGUUUAAAUUUCCCUCCUGGUUACUGGAUUGCCAGGGCAUUUGGGGUCUGAAAUCCCCAGAGAGGCUAAAAGGUGAGCAAGGUGCCAAACCAGGGACCCAGAGACUAAUUGUCCCCUGGGGUGGCAUAGUCCAGGCUCUGUGCCCUCCAGCCCUGUGGAGACUGUCUAGAACUCUCUGCUGGCCUCAGGGUGAGCGGGCAAAGAUCUGGGAAGGUCAGGAGGGGAGAAACCAGGCCAGUCAGACAGGCUGCCUCUGGCUCCUGAAGACACGGUGGGCAACGUGGAGUUCAAGACAGAGGUGAUGGCGGGUUUUGUCUUGUUUCUUUUAACAGUGCUCUGUUUAGAUCACUGUGAGGUCCCCUCUGAAUUCUUCACCUGCUUCAGUUUACUGACUUUAAAUGGCUCACUUAAAUGGCUCACUUGCCUCUCUCUGACUCAGUUUCCCCAACCGCAAAGUGAAAAUGAGAUGGCUGAUAAGCCUUGCAGUACCGAACGUCAACUGGAAAUGGCCCCGUGUUCAGCUACUUGGAGAUAAUCUACUUACAUUUCUCCAGCCCCCCCCCCCAUGUGGAGAUGCCCGCUGGCUGCAUUCCUCAAGGUACACCCCAAACCUUGAACAGGUCCAAAUGAAACAAAGAAGAGGCAACUAAUGGGAAUUUGGUAGUGUGCUGAAGAGGCCUUCGAGGAGAAAUUGUUGGGGAUGCGGACCGUGAGCUCAUCAGAUCCUAGAUUAAGUCUGGCCAGUCAAUGAAGAAACAGCACGCUUACAACAGUCACGAGGUACCCGUUCAGAGAGAGACUGCCAGGCUCAUCUUCCUUCCCUAGGAACAGGGGCUUGAAGACCACGAGCAGCCUGUUGGUGGGCAGGGGGAUAGCUUCAUAGUUGCUCUGUUCUCUGGAUGUGACUGUGACACUUGUCUCGGCCAGUGACAUGAGAGGAAAAACAAGCGGUGCCAGCCCCAGUCCGAAGCCUUGAGGCUAGGUGCUACUUUACAGAAAGAGGCACCACGGUGAAGAGAGCCCUCUGCUGGCCAAGGCGGGACAUGCACUAUAAGGGACUUAGACCCCGCUAAUGGAACCAAUCUUGGAGUUGUUUUGUCACAGAACGGCAUACCUAAUUAGAUGGGAUAGACUUCCCAAUGCAUCUCGGGUUUUCCCAAGAACUUUUAUCAUAUCUGAAAACCACCUCUAAUGUUAUCUACAUACAAUCUCUCUUGCACCAGGUCAUUUCUUUUUUACUUGGGUUUAUUUUAUUGUCUUAAAAAAACUUUUUUUUUUGAGGUAGGCUCUCACGUAGCACAAACUGGGCUCAAACUUGCUAUGCAGCCAAGAAUGACCAUGAAUUUCUGAUCCCUCCUGUUUUCUAUAAAGCUACAAGAAUGUGUUGUUAGUUCCGUUUUUAUGGGGUUCUGGAACACACUAGGCAAGCAUCUGACUGACUGGGCUACAUCUCCAGGUCCUGGAUUUAUUUUCAAAGGAAUCGUUAUUCUUAUCAAGUAGGAUAUCACUUCCUAAUUAGAAAGUAAUAAAAAUAGUCAUAAUGAAAUAAACCAUUUUGUUACAUCCCGACUCAACAUUACGGGCCUUUCAAGGCCUCUGUGCCCUUGGCCUGAUUCCUCUUUGUUAAAAAGGGUUGGGUCUCCUCUCACCAUGUAAUAUAAAAACCCAGUAAAAAUGGUUAGGAAAUGUGGAGCCAGCGCCAUGUCAAGGCUGAAUAAACACUUCUGGGCCUUAACUUUGGGGGUUUGAAUGCAUAUGCUCUACCACCUCCCCACACCCCAGCCCAGGGUCUGUUUUCUUACUUGGAAACAGUAAAUGUGUAGGCUAUGGUCGAUGGUGGAGAUUAUUGGUGUUCCUAUAGAUAAAGGGCUAGAACUGUGUCUGGCACACUGUGAAUGCUACAAAGAUGUCAGCUGCAAAACAAUGACCCUAUUAAGAUCCAAACGCCAUCUGGCCAUUGUGGCACACACCUGUGAUCCCGGCACCAGGGUAGCUGAGGCAAGAGGGUCAAGAGUUCUAAGCCAGGCUGAGCUGCAAAGGGCGGCAGGCAUGGGCCACACGAGGUGGACUUAAAGCAAAGAAACAAAACCCAACCAUCACCUAAGUAUCUUUGAAUAAGAGUAUAAGCCCCAUCCUUUCCACAGGUUAGACAUCUAUCCCAGGUGGCUUGGAUGGGCAGGUGAUGUAACACAGCCCUUGGUUUUAUUUUGAGACAGUUACUCCAGCUCUCUGUCAAGUUGUCACUCAUAAGAACCCAGUGCUCAGUCAAGAGCGCCAACGCCCCUUCCCCUGCACUCUGUCCUGAAGUGACCAUAUAUGGACACUGGCAUCGGGCUUUAAUUUUAGGGGGGACACUUAGGACAGACAGGACAGGCUGUAAAAGCUGUGCCCUUUGGAGAGUAACUGAAGGAGCAGAGAGACCCUGGCUAGGUGCUAUCAGCUACAGAGAGGCAGUUCAGCUAAGUGCUGAGGCUGGGGCCUUUGAACUGUCUGAUACUGGGCGAGUUACAAGCUCUUCAGAUCUUAUUUGCUCCUCCUACGAGAUAGGACGCAACAAUAGAGCCCCUUUAUAGAGUGCUCUGUGGAGCAAACGUGAUAAGCCUUCUUACACCUGGCAGGCAGGUGCCAGCAUGCAGUUAUGUGUGGGUUCAAAACGGGUCUGAGGCUGUAGCUCAUCAGACGGCUCACCCAGCACAUGAAAAGUCCCGAGUCUUAUUCCAGAAAUGCAAAACAAGGCUUUUCUUAGGAAACAGGAAUUCACUGUUAGCCUAGCAGUGGUUACCAGUGAACACGCCUUUAAUCCCAGCACUUGAGAGGAAAAAACAGGGGGACCUCUGAGUUCGAGGCUAGUUAGGGACAGCCAGUGCUACAGAGAGAAACCUUGUCUUAAAAAAAUAAAACAAAACAAAGUAAAACAACAAAAACAAAAAAGGAAUUUGCUGGUUCCAAUGAUCCAAAAGAGCAAGCCGGAAUCAAGAGCUGGGACAAAAACUUGGACCCAGAGUAAAGACCUUGCUAUGUGCUAUGAUUGUCCUACCAGGGACAAUCCUGAUGGAUCCAAAUGUUAGCUUCUUGUCACUGGGGGUCUUGGACACAAGCCUGGGAACCAUGAUGCCAAGGAAGAUGGGUUGUGGAUUCCAGAAGCAAAUUCUUCCAGAAAGCAAAUAUCUCAAAUGAAAUACAACCAAACUCCAGCGCAUUGGGGGAACUGGGUCUCCACGCGUAAAAGGAUGAGGUUGACGAGCUGGACGUAGUGGUGCGUUUGGAAGGGAAGAAAGAGCAGAGGUUCAAGAUCAUUCCAGGACACAGGGAGUUCCUUAGUUGAGCCAAGAGAGCUUUGUAGUGCAUGUGGACAUCUCACCGUUUCAGAAUUUCAGACCAGGAUGCACUAGAAAUGACCAGUCCUAAUAAAGAUUACCUCAGUCUGCAUUUAGCUCCCACCAUGACACCCGUCAAAGACCACAGGGGAGGCAGGCACGAGGGUGUUCUUCACUCUAGGAGGUCUUUCCCCUUUUCUUAACAGAUGUAUGGUCGUUCUACUCUCUCCUUGUCUACAUUUCUUGUUCUUCUGAGACAAUGAGCCCAGGUGCCACUGGCUCAGGACAGCUUUGGCAACCAAAGUCAUCCAGCACCCUAGGUACCUGGGUGCGAUGUUUUGCAUGUGCUCAGUCCAGGGAGUGGCACUUUUAGGAGGUGUGGCCCUGUUGGAGUAGGUGUGUCACUGUGGGUGUGGGCUUUAAGACCCUCAUCCUAGCUGCCUGGAAGUCAGUAUUCUGCUAGCAGCCUUCAGGUGAAGAUGUAGAACUCUCAGUAACUCCUGAACCAUGUCUGCCUAGACACUGCCAUGUUCCCACCUUGAUGAUAAUGGACUGAACCUCUGAACCUGUAAGCCAGCCCCAAUUAAAUGUUGUCCUUUGUAAGUCUUGCAUUGGUCAUGGUGUCUGUUCCCAGCCAUAAAACCCUAACUAAGACACUGAGUUAAAAGUUACUAAGAGCCAAGAAAAGUUCCAUGGCUUCCAAAGAACUCACUUGAAAAGGAUGCUAUCAAUAGAGUGAAAAGGCAUCCACAGGCUGGGAGGGAAAUGCUUGUAAGUCAUCUAGCUGGUAAGAAUACAGACAGCCUGACAUCAGAAAACAAACAACUUCACUUGAGCUGGAACAGACACGUCUUCAAAGAAAUGAUAGAACGACUCUGUAACCAUGGGAACACUAGCAUCACCGGGCAUUAGUGAAAAAUAAAACAAAACCACCAGAAGCAGCAAGAAAGCCAGCUGUGGCAGUGCAUGCCUUCAGUCCCAGAACUCAGUAGGCAGAGGCAGGAGGAUCGAAAGUUCAAUACCAGCCUGGGCUAUAUAGCAAUAUUCUGCCUCAAAACCCAACCUAAGACAGGCAUAGAUGGUGUAUACACCUUUAAUCCCAGCACUCUCGGAGGCAGAGGCAAGGCGAUCUCUAUGAGUUUGAAACCAGCCUGGUCUACAUAGUGAGUUCUGGAACUGCCAGAGCUACAUAGUGAGACCCUGUCUCAUAAGUAAAUAAAUAAAUAAAUAAAUGGCAAAUGCCAAGAAGAACAUAGCCUCUUUCAUCAAUAAUAUAACAGAAGCCUCAUGUGAUGCUUUCUGCCUACACUGUCAUCGCUUGGGAAGAUUUGGCAAGACGAUUGUCUUGAGUCCCAGGCUAGCCUUGGCUAGAGAGAGUUUGUGAGGAUGGAGAGACAUGAAAAUCCCUGGGCAGUAAUGUUGAAAAUAUAAAGUAGUGUAGCCUCUGUGGAAAGCGGUAUGGUUCUCAAACAUGUCCAUAAUAUAAUUUGUCCAUAUUCACUCUCCGUCCAGUACCCUUUCUGCCCCACUCCACUUCCCACUACGCCGUUUCUUUUCCUUAACUACCCCCCUUUCUUCUCUCUCUCUCUCUCUCUCUCUCUCUCUCUCUCUCUCUCUCUGUGUGUGUGUGUGUGUGUGUGUGUGUGUGUGUGUGUGUGUGUGCGUGUGUGUGACCCAGUGGAGUCAUUUGGGUUAUUUACAGACGUAUGAGCACCUUACCUGGGGACACACUACCCAAGAAAAUGUCUCUCUGUCCUCCAUCAACCAACUUAACUGCAAACACAUCCUUACAGAGAGGGGAGACCUCAGAAGCCCCUCCUCCUGUGUAUCCCACGCUCAGACUGGCCUCGAAUGCACUGUGUAGGCAAGGAUGACCUUGAACUCCUCAUUUUUCCUGCUUCCGUCUCCUGAGUUUGUAAGUGUAUUCUUGCAAUGUUGUGGCUGAAGAAGAGCCAUAAGCUAGGCAUCCAUCUUGGUACCCACCAGCCUCUGGAAAGUAAGUUCUCUGUAACCUUGACUCUCCGUUUGUUAUGAUAUGACUAGCUGCUUUUUCUACUUCUGUAACUUGCUUAUGCAGAUACCCAAAGAUUGCUUUGAGUUGCCUUAAUCACUUAACUUGGCAGAAUAGAACCGCUGGCUUGUAUAGAUAUCAAAGGUCUUUGUGUGGUUUUCCCCUUUUAAAGUUCUUCCCCAUAGCCCUCCAUUACUGUAGUCUCAAAUUUGGCUCAGAGAUUGUUUAUCCUGCUAGCAGCUAAUCAAUAAACCUUUUAAUUACAAUUAGAUUGUCUAUGGUCUUUUUCCAGGGGUCACAAAUUUCUUAACAUAAACCUAGGGCUUCAAGUAUGCUAGGCAAAUGUUAGCCGAUCCCACACCAUAUAUAUAUAUGGUCCACUGUAGCCCAGGCUGUCUUCAAAUUGGCUAUAUAGCUAAGGAUGACUUUGAACUUUGAGUGAAGGUCGGAUUAAUGUCAACUUGAGAAGGGAACCUCAAUUGAGGAAUUGUAAGUGACUGGGAAAACCCAUCCUAUGUGUGGGCGAACUUUCUGGGAGCAGGGCAGAUAAAAUGGGUGUGGCAGAGGAGGAGCCUUUGCUUGCUUGGCCUCCUGCUCUCUUAGCCUUCCCUUUUGCCAAGUUAACUUUCCCUGUAGUAGAAGCUGCGGGUUCCUUCAGGGACACCAAAAUCAGCAUUUCCACACACUCAUGAUGACCAAGGAUCGGCUGCUCUCCAGGAUCCCUUCAGGGUUUGGCACAAAAUAGGGAAUGUGGAGGAUCCCAGCCUCAGGGACUGAGCAACUCUGGGAUUCUGGGUCUCUUUAAUGUGAGACAGUCACUGUGUAGCCACCUGACUGUGGAGGCACCCCACCUCUAGGACAGAGCAACUCCCAGGGUCUCAGCCCCUUGGGUGUUAUUACUUCUAUGUAAACUGAUUUAAACAAUCACAUAUAGAUUUUUUCCCCUAUCAGUUCUGCUCCUCUAGAGACUCCUUACUAAUAAUCCACUCCGGAUCCUCCUGCCUCCAGCUCCCAAGUGCUGGGAUUACAGACACAUACUUCCAUAUCCAACCUCAGUCAGCCCUUUCAAGACUUUUUAAAUACGGCUGAGCCUAGAAUGGUGUGUUGGUUGGGUUUUGUCGCCUUGGCGAAGACCUAGACUUGAUUGGGAAGAGGGAGUCUUACUUGAGAAAAUGCCUCUGUUGGUAGUUGGUAAACUUGUGGGGGCAGCACUUUGAUGACUGAUUGAUGUGGGAGGGCCCAGUUCAGUGUGGUUGGUGGCACCCCUGGGCGGUUGCCUAACUGGUAUAAGAAGAAGCAGACUAAGUAGGCCACGGGAGGGCGGGGAGCAAAGCGGUGCAUAGACUGUACUCCUUCAUGGCUCCAGUCUCGGCUCCUGCCUCUAGUCCCAACUUUCCUCAGCGAUGGAGUGGGAUCUGCGUGUUAUAAAAUGAAAUGAAUCCCUUCCUCCGCAGGUUGCUUCGAUCACAACGUUCUGUUAGAGCAAUAGGAACCUAACUAAGACAGGAAGAUCUGCAUAUAUUUGAAAACAAAAGAAAAAUUGUGGCAUUGUAAACUGGUCAGUGGAGGCAUAACCCGUGCUAAGACCAAAGUUAGGACCCACUGUUCAUCCACGUGACAAAAAGUGUAAAGAUGUCUGCAAGGGCUUGAACGAGCACCCCAGGCGUCCAGGUAUGGGAAACCUAAUCUAUGUUAAAGAUAUUUUUUGAGGAAGACUGCCAAGAGCUAGUUAGCAUUUGAGGAAGUCAUGAAGAUAAGCCACUAUGAAAGACCUUCAGGAGAAGCCCGUAUCUAUCACAGACUUCCCAUCUCAGACCCACAGGCCAACUAAACAAUGGUUCUUCGGUUAGACAUGGUAGCUCAGGUCUACAUUCCAGAAGUUGAGAGGUAUUGGAAGCUCAAGGCCAGCCUGGGUUAUCUACACAGACCUGUCUCAAAGAGCUAGACUGGCAAAACAAAAUGUCAACAAUGACCACAAGGUGGCAAGACAGCUCAGCGGGUAAAGAUGUCUGCUGCCAGGCCUGAGGCUCUGGGUUCAAUCAUCCCAACCAAUUCCCACAAGUUGCCCUUUGCCCUCUCCGUGUUCCUUGACAUGUUUGUGGGUCCCUCACUCCAUGCACAUAAGAUAGAUAAAUGAUAGAUAGAUAGAUAGAUAGAUAGAUAGAUAGAUAGAUAGAUGAUAGACAGAUUUUUUUUUUAGGUCUUUAAACUUUAUUGUGUAUUUUGUGUGUACACAUAUGUAUACCUGUAGUGGCUAUUCCUGGUUGUCAACUUGACAAUAUUUGGAAUGAACUACAAUCCGGAAUUGGGCAGGAAAAGAGGGUGUGUGAGCCGGGGGAAGACCAUGGUCAUCAGGAUCAUCAGCUCUGCAGGACUCUGAGACACCAUUCCUGGCUCCCAAGGCCUAGCACUGCCUCCAACCAGCUGGUGACAUGCCAAGAUGGAGAUGCGCCCAAUGGCAUGAGGAACUCAGUCAGGACCAACCUUGACCCCUGCUCCGGAUAUGGCAAACUGAUGUGCAGACACAUGUUUUCACGUGGAGCACGUGUGUCCAUUUGGAGGCCAGAAGUCAACCUCAGUAUUGUUCACUCAGCAAAUAUUGAACAAUAUUCUUUGGCACCGAGGACUCAGUCUAGCAAGGAAAUGAGCUGUCAAACAAACAUGACGCACCACAAGCCCAGGGCAUGUGGGAAGGUCUCAGGAGGGAGAGCUGCUUAGCCUCAACCUGGCGCAUGGGCACAGGCCACCACGCAGACAAGAAAUGAAGGCACUGAAGGAAGCUAAAGAUGCCCCCAUUGUUGCUGUCUGCUGCUGCCUGCUGCUGCCUGCUGCUGCCUGCUGCUGCCUGCUGCAUUGGUAACCCUCCCCAGCAUCCCUGGAGAGACACCAUCCCAGUGUUCUAUACAACAGGCAAUAAGUAAACACCUGUUGGGGCUAGUGCCAUCGAUAUUGCCCGUGCUCAAUUAAAUAUGUCAUUUGUUUGGGAACUGGGGGGCCUUCUGUGUGGCAGUUUCAACGUUAAUAAACGAAUGAGUAAGUCAGCAA